GACAGAGGUCCCGAGCGUUAGGCGGAAUCACUGGGCUUAAAGCGUGUGUAGGCGGACUUCUAAGUACCUUGUGAAAUCCCACGGCUCAACCGUGGAACUGCUUGGUAUACUGGUUGUCUUGGGCCAUCUAGGGGCGAGCGGAACAAACGGUGGAGCGGUGAAAUGCGUAGAUAUCAGGAGGAACACCGGUGGCGAAGGCGGCCCUCUGGACGGAUACUGACGCUGAGGCGCGAAAGCGUGGGGAUCAAACAGG
rnacentral:rRNA from 1 species